rnacentral:rRNA from 1 species
AUUGAACGCUGGCGGCAGGCCUAACACAUGCAAGUCGAGCGAGCGGCGGACGGGUGAGUAAUGUAUGGGGACUGCCCGAUAGCGGGGGAUAACUACUGGAAACGGUGGCUAAUACCGAAUACCAUCCGAUAACCCAUAUGGGAUUAGCUAGUAGGUAAGGUAAAGGCUCACCUAGGCGACGAUCCCUAGUUGGUCUGAGAGGAUGAUCAGCCACACUGGAAGUGAGACACGGCCCAGACUCCUACGGAGGCAGCAGUGGGGAAUAUUGCACAAUGGGCGCAAGCCUGAUGCAGCAAUGCCGCGUGUAUGAAGAAGGCCUUAGGGUUGUAAAGUACUUUCAGCGGGGAGGCGUUACCCACAGAAGAAGCAACGGCUAACUCCGUGCCAGCAGCCGCGGUAAUAC